AUUGAACGCUGGCGGAAUGCCUUACACAUGCAAGUCGAACGAUAGAGGGGGCAACCCCUUGAGAGUGGCGAACGGGUGAGUAAUAUAUCGGAACGUGCCCAGUCGUGGGGAUAACGUAGCGAAAGUUACGCUAAUACCGCAUACGAUCUAAGGAUGAAAGCGGGGGACUCGCAAGAGCCUCGCGCGAUUGGAGCGGCCGAUAUCAGAUUAGGUAGUUGGUGGGGUAAAGGCUCACCAAGCCAACGAUCUGUAGCUGGUCUGAGAGGACGACCAGCCACACUGGGACUGAGACACGGCCCAGACUCCUACGGGAGGCAGCAAUGGGGAAUUUUUGGGACAAUGGGCGCGAAGCCUGAUCCAGCAAUGCCGCGUGCAGGAUGAAGGCCUUCGGUU
rnacentral:rRNA from 1 species